rnacentral:rRNA from 1 species
AGUGAACGCUGGCGGUAGGCCUAACACAUGCAAGUCGAACGGCAGCACAGUAAGAGCUUGCUCUUACGGGUGGCGAGUGGCGGACGGGUGAGGAAUACAUCGGAAUCUACUUUUUCGUGGGGGAUAACGUAGGGAAACUUACGCUAAUACCGCAUACGACCUACGGGUGAAAGCAGGGGAUCUUCGGACCUUGCGCGAUUGAAUGAGCCGAUGUCGGAUUAGCUAGUUGGCGGGGUAAAGGCCCACCAAGGCGACGAUCCGUAGCUGGUCUGAGAGGAUGAUCAGCCACACUGGAACUGAGACCCGGUCCAGGCUCCUACGGGAGGCAGGAGUGGGGAAUAUUGGACAAUGGGCGCAAGCCUGAUCCAGCCAUACCGCGUGGGUGAAGAAGGCCUUCGGGUUGUAAAGCCCUUUUGUUGGGAAAGAAAAGCAGCAGGUUAAUACCCCGCUGUUCUGACGGUACCCAAAGAAUAAGCACCGGCUAACUUCGU